UGACAGAACAUUUUGGUUAAAACGACACGAUCAUUAUGUGCAUAUACAUUAGUACAAAAUAUAAUUUUGAAACAAUCGGCUGAACGCAUAUAUUAUAAUUAUUAUUAUAAUUUUGUUUUCUCAAGUCACUUUGUCGUAUGACUAUUAUUAUUUGUUUAGUUGUUAUGCAAAAGUGCAUGCUAAAGUUAAAUCGUUUAUAAUUAAAAUAUAAUCCCCACGCAGUCGUAGCAAAGUCGUUUCUGUAAAAUAUAGUAAACGUAAGCGAUGGUUAAACGUGUUCC